CGCAUGGUAUUCGGCAACAGAUCGGAUGGCGAUGCGGCCUGACAGAGGU
rnacentral:ncRNA from 1 species